GAUGAACGCUGGCGGCGUGCCUAAUACAUGCAAGUCGAGCGAACAGACGAGGAGCUUGCUCCUCUGACGUUAGCGGCGGACGGGUGAGUAACACGUGGAUAACCUACCUAUAAGACUGGGAUAACUUCGGGAAACCGGGGCUAAUACCGGAUAAUAUAUUGAACCGCAUGGUUCAAUAGUGAAAGACGGUUUUGCUGUCACUUAUAGAUGGAUCCGCGCCGCAUUAGCUAGUUGGUAAGGUAACGGCUUACCAAGGCAACGAUGCGUAGCCGACCUGAGAGGGUGAUCGGCCACGCUGGAACUGAGACACGGUCCAGACUCCUACGGGAGGCAGCAGUAGGGAAUCUUCCGCAAUGGGCGAAAGCCUGACGGAGCAACGCCGCGUGAGUGAUGAAGGUCUUCGGAUCGUAAAACUCUGUUAUUAGGGAAGAACAAAUGUGUAAGUAACUAUGCACGUCUUGACGGUACCUAAUCAGAAAGCCACGGCUAACUACGUG
rnacentral:rRNA from 1 species